AGCGGUAGCACAGGGGAGCUUGCUCCCUGGGUGACGAGCGGCGGACGGGUGAGUAAUGUCUGGGAAACUGCCUGAUGGAGGGGGAUAACUACUGGAAACGGUAGCUAAUACCGCAUAACGUCGCAAGACCAAAGAGGGGGACCUUCGGGCCUCUUGCCAUCAGAUGUGCCCAGAUGGGAUUAGCUAGUAGGUGGGGUAAUGGCUCACCUAGGCGACGAUCCCUAGCUGGUCUGAGAGGAUGACCAGCCACACUGGAACUGAGACACGGUCCAGACUCCUACGGGAGGCAGCAGUGGGGAAUAUUGCACAAUGGGCGCAAGCCUGAUGCAGCCAUGCCGCGUGUGUGAAGAAGGCCUUCGGGUUGUAAAGCACUUUCAGCGAGGAGGAAGGUGGUGAACUUAAUACGUUCAUCAAUUGACGUUACUCGCAGAAGAAGCACCGGCUAACUCCGUGCCAGCAGCCGCGGUAAUACGGAGGGUGCAAGCGUUAAUCGGAAUUACUGGGCGUAAAGCGCACGCAGGCGGUUUGUUAAGUCAGAUGUGAAAUCCCCGGGCUCAACCUGGGAACUGCAUUUGAAACUGGCAAGCUAGAGUCUCGUAGAGGGGGGUAGAAUUCCAGGUGUAGCGGUGAAAUGCGUAGAGAUCUGGAGGAAUACCGGUG
rnacentral:rRNA from 1 species